rnacentral:rRNA from 1 species
UACGGAGGGAGCUAGCGUUGUUCGGAAUUACUGGGCGUAAAGCGCACGUAGGCGGCUAUUCAAGUCAGGGGUGAAAGCCCGGGGCUCAACCCCGGAACUGCCCUUGAAACUAGGUAGCUAGAAUCUUGGAGAGGUCAGUGGAAUUCCGAGUGUAGAGGUGAAAUUCGUAGAUAUUCGGAAGAACACCAGUGGCGAAGGCGACUGACUGGACAAGUAUUGACGCUGAGGUGCGAAAGCGUGGGGAGCAAACAGG